GGGCGGAUAGCUCAGUUGGUAGAGCACAGGACUGAAAAUCCUGGUGUCGGGGGUUCGAUUCCCCCUCCGCCCA
rnacentral:tRNA from 2 species